rnacentral:tRNA from 1 species
GAGGUGCUAGUAAAACUAUUACUUUAUCUUGUCAGGAUAAAAUUGUGAGUGAAAUCCCCACGUACCUUA